UCAAAAACAUGGCCUAUUGAAUAUAAUUUUAGGUUUAGCCUGCCCCCUGAAUAUUAAAUGGCCGCGGUAUUUUGACCGUGCUAAGGUAGCAUAAUCAUUAGUUUCUUAAUUAGAAGCUGGAAUGAAUGGUUGGAUGAAAAAAUUUCUGUCUCUAUUUAAUUAAUUUAAAAAUUUAUUUUUUAGUAAAAAAGCUAAAAUUAUUUUAAAAGACGAGAAGACCCUAUAGAGUUUAAUAUAUUAUUUUAUUAAUAUUUGUUAGAAUAAAAAUAUAUAAUUUUAUUUUGUAUUUAGUUGGGGUGAUUGAAAAAUUAAAUAAACUUUUUAUUGUUUAAACAUUAAUUUAUGAAUAAUUGAUCCAUUUAUUAUGAUUAAAAGAUUAAAUUACCUUAGGGAUAACAGCGUAAUAUUUUCAGAGAGUUCUUAUCGAAGAAAAAGAUUGCGACCUCGAUGUUGGAUUAAAAUUAAUUUUUGGUGUAGCAGCUAAGAAUUUUAGGUCUGUUCGACCUUUAAAAUUUUACAUGAUCUGA
rnacentral:rRNA from 1 species